rnacentral:lncRNA from 1 species
UCCGGGAGGAGAGAUUUAGCUCCCGCCCGGAUUUAGCUUCUCCCACCGGGCUCCAUCCAUCACCUCCCGCCCCCCCCCCCCCCCCCCCCCCACCUCUCCACGAUGGGGCUGGGCUGCUUAAAACCCUCGGUCAGUCUCCUCCCCGUCUUUCUUCUCCCCCCCCCCCCCCCCGCCCCGUCCGACACCCCCUCCGGGGGGAGGCAGGGGGAGAUGCGGUCGGGGAUGCGGGAGAAGGCGGCGGCCGGGUCGGGACCCCCCCUUCCCUCCCCGUGGGGGCGGAGGAGAUGAUAAGGAGGUUAGAGCAGUCCCGAAGAGGUGGGGGGGGGGGGGGAGAAGGUGAAAGGGGGGGGGGGGGGAGAAGUUUACACAGCCUGGAAGGUGAGAGACAGCGAUGCUCUGGCCUGGAGCAAAAAUCUUUGUCCCGCAGCAGCAGAAGAGAUAACCGGGAGAUAAGGACUGAUACCCGGGAGGACAGCAGGAGACCGGCAGGCAGCCGAGGAAAGGGGGAGAAGCCGGAGGCAGUGUUGGGAAGGGCUGCGUAUCCAGAUGUGCUGCGUUUUGGAAACGCAUCUCCCUCUUCACGCCUUGCAAAAUCCCUGGCAAUUUUCUCUACCAAAGCAGCACUUUGCUGAAGUUUCGUGGAAUUCCUACUGAACACCAGCGCUUUACUUAAAAAAAAAAAAACAAAACAACAAUCCAAUUAAACCCGAUUAAAACCGCCCGAGCAGCUCUACCAGGAGCAGAGACGAUUUCAAGGACCUGCCUUGGCUUUGCCUUUUCCAGGAAAAAAACAUAUAAAAAUAAUAAAGAAAUCCCGUGGUGGGUUUUGAGUGUGCGUGGCCGGAUCCAGCCUCUUUCUGCGGGGAAAUAUCGGUCCUUAGUGCCGAGCAUCGCAUCGCGGGGGGGUGCGCACCCCGAAAAAAACCCCAGUGCCGUGAGGAGCGGAGCCGAGCCCCAGCCUGGUAUAAACAGCCGGGAGGGAAAAGAUGGAUUUCGGACACGUUUUUUUAUCCCGAAAAAACAGAGGAUGGGACACAGGAGAGUGCAGCGACAAAAAAAAAAAAAAAACAACAAAAAAAACAACCCUUAAAAAAAUAAAUCCCUGCUCUGCACUCGGAGGAGCUUUUUUUUUUUUUCUUUUCUUCUGCGAUUUACACAGUGCGCUUGCCGGCAAAGCGAGGCGGUGAACGAAAUCUGGCUGAAAAUAACCCUGCGGAACAAACCUCGGCCUUUCCACUCUCCUUUCC